GCGCUCGUAGCUCAACUGGAUAGAGCAACGGCCUUCUAAGCCGUAGGUUACAGGUUCGAGUCCUGUCGGGCGUGCCA
rnacentral:tRNA from 1 species